rnacentral:lncRNA from 1 species
CGACUGUUUCUAUUGGUCCUGCCUGCAUGUGAAGGCUUAAAAAUCCAAAUCGUUCAUUUAUGCAACUUAUGGUUCAAACUCCAACGGCUUUAUGUAAAAACAUCUUCAGUUUGAGGGGGAGUGUUAGCGUAUGGUUAUCUAUAUUAAUAUACAUCAUUAUGAAUACAUAUUGAAUACAUAUCAAUAUAGAUAUGUAUAUGUAUGGAUAUAUAUCUUUUAAUAAGAUUAGGUGUCUAGGAUUAUAAUAAGAUUAGUUAGUAAUUAUCAAUAACUGUUGGUGUAUAUACAAAAUUGUUACUAAUUGUAUAUUUAUACGGAGCCUUAUAUAUUCUUUAUUAAUUAAAAAAAGAAGUUCUCAGCAGUAUUCUGAGUUUCUAACAAGACCAUGGUGUCUUGUGAUCUACGAUGUUAUUGGAUAGUGUGGUCCUAAGGAUAUUCUAAUUAUUUUUAAGGUUAGGGAAAAAAAAAAAAUUAAAAAAUAGGCCAGAUUCUAAAUCUAUUAUUAGGAAUUACAUAGAUGUAUCCAAGGCCCCAUAGAAGUCACAUAAUGAAACCUACAUGUUGCUCUCUAAUCAAAAGGUAAGGAAGCCAAAUUUAAGCAUGCGUUAAGAGAGAGUAAUCACGCUAGAAAUGCAUUGGUGAAGGCAGCGAUUUUAAGGACGUUAUACUUCUCUCCCCCGAUGUUGCACUAUUUCCAAGGGUACUAGAAAAUUGACGGUAUCAGAAAUCAUUUUCAAAAUUGACUUUUUUUUUUGUAUAGUACAUUUUUAGAUAUCAAAAUGGAUGCUUUUCAAAAUGGAUUUCGAAAUCUUGAUCAUCGUAUCAAAAUUGACGUUUUCAAGGUAAUUG